UUUAAAUGUUUAUUUGACAAAAACUCGCAGUUAUUUAAACGGUUCGGAGACAUUUCUGUCAGAUCCCGCCGGCAGGAUCGCUGACUCCAGAUGGUUAAGGGAUUGAUAUGUGUGAGUUUAGCACAGUGCUACCAUGAAUGUGUGUAGACUCUUCCAGCACCCUCUCCAUUUAAUGCAGAUGACUAACUGCAAGUGUCUGUAGUGCAGACUUUCAUAGAAUAUCUCUAUGCCUCUUUCCUCAGGGUGUCUCCACGGUAGUAAAAGGUAGUAAAUGGAAUUUGACUUGGUAGUACAUUUUUUUUCAUCAUCCACCUCAAUAUAUUUUGAGUGUCCCAUUCGUCUGAGGGAUUUCCCUAGUUAAUUUGUAGUUAUUUAAUUAUGUUCAUUUAGUUAAUUAAUUUAUAGCUUUCAUAUUUCUUGUUUUAAUAUUUCUUUCUGUCCUUGCUACUCACUCAUCAUGUUCUUUGCCUAUCUCAUACAACGUACUCACACCAAGGCCAUCUGACCCCCUGGCUCCAGAAGUCUGUACGAAGACCAUAGAUAAAGGGCCUGCUUCCCUCAGUGGGGGCAGAGUCAGACACAGACAGACACUGAACCGGCCGUGUGAAACAUCUUUCUGUAACAUCUUCAUUCUGUCUUAAUAAACUGCUUAAGCUUAAGGAACCUGCCUCAUCAUUCAGCUAGAAAUCUAUCAGUUGGCGUCACGAACAGGAUCGGUGAGAGACAAGGCCGAGAGACUAAUUAAUGCUGGAUGACUGAAGACAACAAUUAAGCGCGCAAAUCAAUGUAGGUGUCAGCAAAGUGGUGGACGUGGGAAGUUUAGAUUUCACCCGACAACCCAUCAGUAGUUGUGCAGGCCUUGUCGUCAGCAGCUUGUCCACCAUUCGACCCUUGCUCCGCCUCCCCGGCCAGACCCCGCCCACGACUUGCCCUAUGCACCACUUGUGCGGAACUUUCAUCGUCUAGCUUGAACUGCCAGAAUCCUUGGCUUUCAUCAAGCACAGAGAACAAUUUUGCAUUGGGCAUGCUGGAUAUCACCUCUUCUACUGUACGAACUCUUGUAUAAUCUUGUCUUUUAAUGCCAUGGGAACCUUUCUGGGAGGAUGAAUCACAGGCAGGACUUCAGGAUCUCUCUGGAUGUGAUGACAUCCUGGUGAGUGAUGCCUUACCCACUGGCGACAUCUGGUGGCCAGAAUAAGUCUUUGACGUACGCAUCAAUGCUUUCAGAGGGACCCUGAGCUCUCCUGAAGAACAAGUGGUGAAUUUACGCUUCUUCUCCCGCGACAUGCAGAAAUGUGGCGCACUGAAUUUUCUCUGACUUCUCGGCAAUUCCGCUCGCAGUUAGAAAUAGGUCAAAUUUUUGUACCCAUAGCUUCCAGCUUUCUGCGAGGUUGCCUUGUAGACAUGGAGGCGAAGGGGGUUGCAAUUGCUCCAUCUUCUACGGAUUGAAUCCUGUUCUGACACCAUGUAAUGUUCCUUUAGCGAAUAUAAAAAGAUACAUGUGUGACCAUGUGCUGUGCUUAGAACAACUUUUUAUUAUUGUGUCACUUUACUGACAUCAUUAGCUACGGUUGCCUGUUAGGUACAUUACAUAUAUGACAGAGACUUUUGUGAUCUGUUGCGCAUGUUACUGCACAAAUUCUAUGCGAUCAAACCUAAUUUCAGUACGGAGCCCCUCUCAUGACAAACUGACAAAAUUAUAGGGACAUUCUAAAAAAACAAACAAAGUGGGAUCGAAUUAAUAAAACGUGGCCACGACAUAAUUAAAACGAGGGAACGAAUUAGUUUGCCAUUUGUGCAUCUGUUCUGCAAAGCACAAUGUCACUUUAAAUUUUGAAUUAUUUGAGUACAUAUUGCUUACUUGUGUACAUACUGCUUGUCCAGUUAUGUAUCUGUUUAUGUAUACCAAGUAUAACACCUCCAUUGACUUAACAUGAUCGA